CUAAUUUUAGUUGGUAUUUCAAGGGAAGAUGGGCGAUUCCGAACAAUCCUCUGUCCCCAGCAAUGAAGGCAGCGAUGCUGAGGCCAGUGAGGACGACCAACAGCCCACCGCCGCGUAUGGUUGGGGCAGGGAGCCCAGAUACUCUGCUGAGGAGCUGCCAUCGCGUGUAACAAAUGUGGAGGAAGAAGAUGCGUCAGCAGCUGCGUCCGACAGAAGACGAGUAGCUUGGCCACCAGAAUCUCGAUUCGUUUGGGACUCCGACUGGUGCGAGCGUGGACAAAAGUGUAUAGCCAUGCCCAGCCCGCGGGAAUGAUUUUGCUGGUAGGAUGCUGCCGUCGCUGUCGACAAGACGGCCCAAGGUUUCUUGCGUAGCGGACCUCGCAGAUUACGAGAUCGUAUCCUUGCAUUAGGCUGUGCUCAUCACUGCUCUUCGAGGUUAUCUCGACAUGCAGAAGCCGCCAAUGCCAGUGACAGAAGAGUCUGACAUUAGAUCUCUACGCUAUGCGGCACACAGGCAGUACACACUAUGUACACGGCAAAUUGGGCAAGCACGUUCGUUGUCGUCUUCCAGCCUGCGUUGUGAAUACCAUCAGGCAAAGAUAUCCAAAUCCUGCACCACCUCAGCCUUCUCAGGAGGCUUCCACCUGGAAUUUGGCAGGGAAACACGCUUCUCCAAGGCAGGAACAUGGAGGUUGCCAUUUGCAACCGCUACCACCUCACAUAUGAGCUUGUCAACAUACUCAUAGCUCUUUCUGUCGUAUAAUUUUCUAUUUGGCCACAGUCUUCUUUAUGCUUUGAGAACUGGACUUUAUACCUUCC